rnacentral:rRNA from 1 species
GACGAACGCUGGCGGCGUGCUUAACACAUGCAAGUCGAACGGAAAGGCCCUGCUUUUGUGGGGUGCUCGAGUGGCGAACGGGUGAGUAACACGUGAGUAACCUGCCCUUGACUUUGGGAUAACUUCAGGAAACUGGGGCUAAUACCGGAUAGGAGCUCCUGCUGCAUGGUGGGGGUUGGAAAGUUUCGGCGGUUGGGGCUGGACUCGCGGCUUAUCCGCUUGUUGGUGGGGUAGUGGCUUACCAAGGCUUUGACGGGUAGCCGGCCUGAGAGGGUGACCGGGGAGAAGGGGACUAAGAGAGGGAGCAGAAGGGAACGGGAGGCAACAGGGGGAAAAAUGGCGAAAAGGGGGGGAGCCGGAUGCAGCGGCGCCGCGUGCGGGAUGAGGGGCUUAGGGGGGUAAACAAAUGUGGCAGGAGAAGAAGCGUGAGUGAAGGUAAUGGAUAAAGAAGCAACGGCUAACUACGUG